rnacentral:piRNA from 1 species
UNGCCUCAAAAGUAAACUCCUUACGGUCAC